AGACAGCUAGGAGGUUGGCUUAGAAGCAGCCAUCCUUUAAAGAAAGCGUAAUAGCUCACUAGUCGAGUCGGCCUGCGCGGAAGAUGUAACGGGGCUCAAACCACACACCGAAGCUGCGGGUGUCACGCAAGUGACGCGGUAGAGGAGCGUUCUGUAAGCCUGUGAAGGUGAGUUGAGAAGCUUGCUGGAGGUAUCAGAAGUGCGAAUGCUGACAUGAGUAACGACAAUGGGUGUGAAAAACAUCCACGCCGAAAGACCAAGGGUUCCUGCGCAACGUUAAUCGACGCAGGGUUAGUCGGUUCCUAAGGCGAGGCUGAAAAGCGUAGUCGAUGGGAAACAGGUUAAUAUUCCUGUACUUCUGGUUACUGCGAUGGAGGGACGGAGAAGGCUAGGCCAGCUUGGCGUUGGUUGUCCAAGUUUAAGGUGGUAGGCUGAAAUCUUAGGUAAAUCCGGGGUUUCAAGGCCGAGAGCUGAUGACGAGUCGUCUUUUAGAUGACGAAGUGGUUGAUGCCAUGCUUCCAAGAAAAGCUUCUAAGCUUCAGGUAACCAGGAACCGUACCCCAAACCGACACAGGUGGUCGGGUAGAGAAUACCAAGGCGCUUGAGAGAACUCGGGUGAAGGAACUAGGCAAAAUGGCACCGUAACUUCGGGAGAAGGUGCGCCGGCUAGGGUGAAGGAUUUACUCCGUAAGCUCUGGCUGGUCGAAGAUACCAGGCCGCUGCGACUGUUUAUUAAAAACACAGCACUCUGCAAACACGAAAGUGGACGUAUAGGGUGUGACGCCUGCCCGGUGCCGGAAGGUUAAUUGAUGGGGUUAGCGCAAGCGAAGCUCUUGAUCGAAGCCCCGGUAAACGGCGGCCGUAACUAUAACGGUCCUAAGGUAGCGAAAUUCCUUGUCGGGUAAGUUCCGACCUGCACGAAUGGCGUAACGAUGGCGGCGCUGUCUCCACCCGAGACUCAGUGAAAUUGAAAUCGCUGUGAAGAUGCAGUGUAUCCGCGGCUAGACGGAAAGACCCCGUGAACCUUUACUGUAGCUUUGCACUGGACUUUGAGCCUGCUUGUGUAGGAUAGGUGGGAGGCUUUGAAGCGUGGACGCCAGUUCGCGUGGAGCCAUCCUUGAAAUACCACCCUGGCAUGCUUGAGGUUCUAACUCUGGUCCGUGAUCCGGAUCGAGGACAGUGUAUGGUGGGCAGUUUGACUGGGGCGGUCUCCUCCUAAAGAGUAACGGAGGAGUACGAAGGUGCGCUCAGACCGGUCGGAAAUCGGUCGCAGAGUAUAAAGGCAAAAGCGCGCUUGACUGCGAGACAGACACGUCGAGCAGGUACGAAAGUAGGUCUUAGUGAUCCGGUGGUUCUGUAUGGAAGGGCCAUCGCUCAACGGAUAAAAGGUACUCCGGGGAUAACAGGCUGAUACCGCCCAAGAGUUCAUAUCGACGGCGGUGUUUGGCACCUCGAUGUCGGCUCAUCACAUCCUGGGGCUGAAGCCGGUCCCAAGGGUAUGGCUGUUCGCCAUUUAAAGUGGUACGCGAGCUGGGUUUAGAACGUCGUGAGACAGUUCGGUCCCUAUCUGCCGUGGACGUUUGAGAUUUGAGAGGGGCUGCUCCUAGUACGAGAGGACCGGAGUGGACGAACCUCUGGUGUUCCGGUUGUCACGCCAGUGGCAUUGCCGGGUAGCUAUGUUCGGAAAAGAUAACCGCUGAAAGCAUCUAAGCGGGAAACUUGCCUCAAGAUGAGAUCUCACUGGGAACUUGAUUCCCCUGAAGGGCCGUCGAAGACUACGACGUUGAUAGGCUGGGUGUGUAAGCGUUGU
rnacentral:rRNA from 1 species